CCUACGGGUGGCAGCAGUGGGGGAUAUUGCACAAUGGGGGAACCCUGAUGCAGCGACGCCGCGGGAGUGGAGAAGUAUUUCGGUAUGUAAAGCUCUAUCAGCAGGGAAGAAAAUGACAAUACCUGACCAAGAAGCCCCGGCUACCUACGAGCCAGCAGCCGCGGUAAUAAGGAGGGGGCAAGCGUUAUCCGGAUUUACUGGGUGUAAAGGGAGCGUAGAGGGGUAUGUAAGUCGGGAGUGAAAGCCCGGGGCCCAACCCCGGGACUGCUUUGGAAAAUGUGUAACUGGAGUACAGGAGGGGUAGGCGGAAUUCCUGGUGUAGCGGUGAAAUGCGUAGAUAUCAGGAGGAACACCGGCGGCGAAGGCGGCCUGCUGGACUGAAACUGACGUUGAGGCUCGAAAGCGUGGGGAGCAAACAGGAUUAGAUACCCUAGUAGUC
rnacentral:rRNA from 1 species